UACGUAGGGGGCAAGCGUUAUCCGGAUUUACUGGGUGUAAAGGGAGCGUAGACGGACUGGCGAGUCUGAUGUGAAAGGCGGGGGCUCAACCCCUGGACUGCAUUGGAAACUGUUAGUCUUGAGUGCCGGAGAGGUAAGCGGAAUUCCUAGUGUAGCGGUGAAAUGCGUAGAUAUUAGGAGGAACACCAGUGGCGAAGGCGGCUUACUGGACGGUAACUGACGUUGAGGCUCGAAAGCGUGGGGAGCAAACAGG
rnacentral:rRNA from 1 species